UACGUAGGGUGCGAGCGUUGUCCGGAAUUAUUGGGCGUAAGGGCUCGUAGGCGGUUUGUCGCGUCGGGAGUGAAAUCCACUGGCUUAACUGGUGGCUUGCUUUCGAUACGGGCAGACUGGAGGUAUGCAGGGGAGAACGGAAUUCCUGGUGUAGCGGUGAAAUGCGCAGAUAUCAGGAGGAACACCGGUGGCGAAGGCGGAUCUCUGGGCCUUGCCUGACGCUGAGGCGCGAAAGCUAGGGGAGCGAACAGG
rnacentral:rRNA from 1 species